GACGAACGCUGGCGGCGUGCCUAAUACAUGCAAGUAGGACGCAGUUGCGAACGGGUGAGUAACGCGUAGGUAACUACCUCUUAUAGGGGGAUAACUCUUGGAAACGAUAGCUAAUACCGCAUACUAGUAGAUGGCCCUGCUUUUUAUUAGCUAGUAGGUAGGGUAAUGGCCUACCUAGGCAACGAUACAUAGCCGACCUGGGAGGGGGGGUGGCCCAACCGGGAAUGGGGAACGGGCCAGGCCCCCACGGGGUGGAGCAGUAGGGAAACUUCGGCAAUGGGGGGAACCCGGACCGGGCAACGGCGCGUGAGUGAAGAAGGUUUUCGGAUCGUAAAGCUCUGUUGUUAAGGAAGCGGUACUUAACCAGAAAGGGACGGCUAACUACGUGCCAGCAGCCGCGGUAAUAC
rnacentral:rRNA from 1 species